rnacentral:rRNA from 1 species
GACAGAGGGUGCAAACGUUGUUCGGAAUUACUGGGCGUAAAGCGAGUGUAGGCGGUUUGGUAAGUCGGGUGUGAAAGCCCUGGGCUCAACCCAGGAAGUGCACUCGAUACUGUCAGGCUAGAGUAUCGGAGAGGUUGGUGGAAUUCUCGGUGUAGAGGUGAAAUGCGCAGAUAUCAGGAGGAACACCGGUGGCGAAGGCGGGUCUCUGGGCCGAUACUGACGCUGAGGAGCGAAAGCGUGGGGAGCGAACAGG